UCCAUACUAGAUUAGUACCACUGAAAUUUUCACAAGUUAAUAGUUAAUAGCCAACUUAAGGAAAGAUACAGCAAGCAUAUAAUUGUGCUCGUUCGUGUUCAAUUUGUUUCCACAGAAAUUUAUGGCAGGGGAAAGAAAAUAAACUAUUGCUAUAUAAUAGAGAAAAUACAGAUCAGUGUUAUUCCAUGACACAUGGCACAUG
rnacentral:misc_RNA from 1 species